rnacentral:rRNA from 1 species
UUUUUACUGAAAAAUUAUAAUAAGUAACACCUGCUCAAUGAAUAUUUAAAUAGCCGCGGAAAUUUAACCGUGCUAAGGUAGCAUAAUCAUUAGUCUCUUAAUUAGAGACUAGUAUGAAUGGUGAAACAAUUUAAUUACUUUAUUAAAUAAUAUAUUUUAACUUAAAUUAAGAAUAAAAAUGUUCUUAUUACAAAAAUAGACGAUAAGACCCUAUUGAACUUUACUUUUGUUUAACUGGGGCAGUUACAAAAUAAUUAUCUUUUAAUUUAUUAAUUUAAUAAAUGAUCCAAUAAAAUUGAUUAUUUGAUCAAGUUACCAUAGGGAUAACAGCAUAAUAUAUUUUUAAAGCUCUUAUUUUAAAAAAUGAUUGUGACCUCGAUGUUGAAUUAAUGUUUCUUAAUGAAUGCAGUAAUUUUUUUAAGUUGGUCUGUUCGACCAUUAAAACAUU